AACACAACUGUCUUCAUUGGGCAGCCACCAAAGCCUUACUUUCUUGAUCCUGACACUAGUAGUGACCUCACAUCGCUCCAAUGUGAUGCCCCUUGUGUACGAUGCACCCAGAUGCCACAUCUGCUUUAUCGACCCAACAAGGACCUAGUAAUCUGCAGGGACCCAAUUUGCGUGUCCCUGCAUUCAGGUGACUACAGAUGUGACCACCCAGAGCAAUGUGACUACGAGGUCCAGAAGGUUCUAAAAUUCCACCAAUGGAAAAGUCUCAAAAUGCUUUAACUGUUGGUCCAUCAUUAUGACUUCAAGGAUUGUUAGUACCCUUCUUCUCUUUCAAACGACCAUCCCUUGGUCAAGAGAAUCAAAAAUGAUGUUGGUCUACAUGGAAAAGGCACUGCUAUUGUCUCUGCUUCUGGAUCAUGAGACAGGAAUUUGUCUACCUCAGCCAUUAUGGAAAGAAUUCCAAGCAGGUGGCCACGUCCUGUGUGGCAUCCUCCAUGGAAGAACUACAGGGUCAUAAGUGGGCAUUUGGGAUGGGUGAGAUCUAUUGCAUUUGAUCCUAGCAAUCAAUGAUUCUGCACUGGCUCUGCAGAUCGGACAAUUGAGGUCAAAGUUCUCAACAAACUUGCUUCAGCUCGAGCUUCAGGAGCAGGUAGCGGCAGCAGAGUCUUGACAGAUUUGGUAGAGGGUCUAGAAGAAGCAGCUGUUGCUGUAGAAUUGAGGUUGAAGAUCAACCAGAGUCAUCUGGACUUAAAGGGAGGGUACGUGGUUUCUUGGUUUCUAGCAAUGUCGUUUUCUUUUUCCUUCUCUAAGAUCCUGAUAGUGUAGAGGUUACAGAUCUUUCCGAGACUAUGGAGAGGCAGUGUUGAAGCACCUGGAGAACUCUAUUGAUUUAGACCCAAAGCUUCAGAAAGCUCCAGUAAAUUAUGAAGGAGUCCGGGUAUCUGGGUUUGGAGGAUGGUUCCUUCUGAGGCUCUCACUUCAUGAUCCUGUUCUUCCUCUUAACAUUGAGGAGUUUGCAGCUUUGGAUACAUCCGCUUUAGACAAGUUUGUUCAAGUAUCAUGAGCCGAUGAUGCAGAGCGCUUUGGUACAAGUAUCUUUCGGCACAUUAUACUGGCAGUUAAAGUGGGCUUUGGCGUCUACCUCUGUACAGUACGUAUAAUCAGUGCGUCAGUCUCUGAUUCUGAGGAGGUUCAUUUUUCAGAUGGUUUUGGUCACAGGCACUCAAAAUACUAGUUGAUGGCUGUGUUUACUUUAGUUUUUACUUAUGUUCCAUGUAUGCUACAGAGAUGUUCUGAUAAAUAAGAAACAUUCUUCGACUA